GCCAACGUAGCUUAAUUAAAGCAUAACACUGAAAAAAAGUAAGAUGGACCCUAGAAAGUCUCGUCGGC
rnacentral:tRNA from 1 species